rnacentral:lncRNA from 1 species
GAAAAUACUGGGCCAGAAUGAAGAGCGGGAGCCACACGGCCCAGCCCCCGCGGUCCAGCCGUGGAGUCUCGGGCCGGGGAACACUGGUGUGGUCAGUGCCAACUGCCUAACCCUUCCUUAGAUGGUGCUGAGGAAGGCGCUGCCCAGAAAGAUCCUCACAGGGAGGUGGAGGGGACGCGACAACACGGGAGGCCAGCCACAUUCUGAGAAGAGCGGAAAAGAGAAUUGUGAAACUCCCUAAUGGCCCACUACAGAAAAGAGGGAUUUGCUUUUCUAAUGCCACAGAAUCGCAUCCGGAAAACACUAAUUUUUUAAUUCAGAUUUAUUUAUGAUCACAAAGGAAAGGCAUGUUGAUUUCUCAUUCUCUGGUGAAGUGUUUUUGAUGGUGGGAUUUUUUUUUAAAAAAGAUAAUAUGUCAUUUAUUAAGCUUCGCAUAGAAAAAUGACUAUUUUUUUUUCAUGUUUAUUUGGAAAAGGCUGUUUUCUUUCUCAAGAGGUUUUUACCAAACUAAAAUCAGAAUCCAGCCACGGAGGAAAACAAAAGCAUUUGACAUUCAUCACUACUUGUUGAGUACCCACAGGACCCAGGGCAUGGCUGGCACUGCUGCAGCUAAAGAACACGGCAAAGCUGCUACCCAGCCGUCAAAAUGAAGAGAACGGGGUUUAUUCAUCAGCUGACUUCAAGAAAAACAGUACAGUGAUGUCCUGUUCAACUGGAAUUACUGUCCUACGAAAGACUGAGACUGAAACCAAAGGAGAGGGUAGCAACAGGAAAACGGUAAAAUGAUGAUUACCAUCUUUUUAAAAACCCACAGGAGGUGACAGC